ACUCUCUUCGGUGGAAGCAGCAGCAGUGGCAAUGGAGAGCAUCCUGGAGCUUCAGAGGGACAGCAGAUGGGCACAGGUUUCAGCAGUGUCUCCUCCAGGUGUGAGCAGAAGGCCAUGCCUUUUGAGCCACAGAAAUGAGUUAUAAAUGCAGCAAUUACUCAGGCCAUGUCCACACUUACAGGGGAUCGACGCUGCUGUGAUCGAUGCAGUGGGGGUCGACUUAGCAGGUCUAGUGAAGAGCGCUCUCCGGUCAACUCCAGUACUCCACCGCAACGAGAGGAGUAAAGUAAGUCGACAGCGGUGUGAUAUCACCAUCCUCCACUAGAUCAAGGAUGCCACAGACAGAACAGAGGCCUUCUGGAUGCAGCAAGGAUAUCACUCACAGAGAAGAAGCUCUUCACAUGGAGCAAGGACCAUGGACAGACCAGACAUGAUUUCACGUAAACGUGAAGGAAAAAAAAUCCCUUUUUGUCUGCUGCAGUUUUAUUAGCGAUUUUUGUAACCAGCAACAACCGAUUCUUUCUUUCACAAGGAAAUACAAACUUUUACAAAAAAUAUGCACAAAGUUUCCUAUUGCUGUAACAUUUCUAAGGAAAUUCCACACAUAUAUCAGAAAUGGAUGUUUCACAGGACAAAAGAACAGACACAUCCCAUUUGGAUCCCUCAGGUGGAGAUCGAUGAGAUAGCGUGUCCCAUAGAGCAAAGAAGGACUCAGUUAUCCACUUACAUUAUUCCCUGAUAUCCCCAGGAGCAAAAGGUAGAGAAAGACAGGAAGCAUGCUGACCCCUUGAUACGGCUCUUACAGAGUGACUUGCAGACCAGAACCACAUUUAAAAGCCCAGCAUAACCCUCUGGAACCUUCUGAGACAAAGCAGCAAACCCACCACAGAGCCACUGUUCCUCGAGAAGCUACAGUUUAGAGGACUCUACAAAUAAUAUGCAACUAUCAAAUCUCAUACUGUUCAAUAUGAGACCCACUCUAUGCUACUAAAAUAAAGACACAGGAUCACAAGCAGAAGCCAUGGAAUAGUUAAGAGUGGAGUACCGGAGUCGAUGGGAGAGCAAUCAGCAGUCAAUUUAGCAGGUCUUCACUACACCCAUUAAAUCAACCCCUGGUGGAUCGAUCGCCACAGCGUCAAUCCCCAGUGCCUAGCUUGAUAUCCUGAGGUCUGAUCUGCAGAUGUGCUGAGCAUUCAAAGCUACAACUGAAGUCAGUGGGAGCUGUGCUUUGAACAUAGAAAGAGUAAAUCUUCAUUGAGCUGCAAUGCGUUUGGACUCUGAAGCCCUGAAUGCAGCAAAUGCCAAGCCACAGCUUUCCAUGAAAGUGAGGAUUUCAAAACCCACAGAGCCCACCUGGGAUGACACAACUGACCCGUCAGGACUUGGGACCUGAUUUUAAGAGGCACCUACAGAGUUGUGUUUGUUACCGGUGUCCUGAGAGAGGAAAUCUAGUCCACUAGAAGAAGCAGUUGGCAUUAGGAAAGAAUAACAAGGAAAGUAACAUAGAACUAAUAAUAGAGUUUUAAUAAAACAAUGAGAUUAAAGAAAUA